rnacentral:rRNA from 1 species
UUAAAGGAAUUGACGGGGCCCGCACAAGCGGUGGAGCAUGUGGUUUAAUUCGACGCAACGCGAAGAACCUUACCAGGGCUUGACAUCCCCUGACCGCGUAUGAAAGUACGUUUUCACCCUCGGGUGACAGGGAGACAGGUGGUGCAUGGUUGUCGUCAGCUCGUGUCGUGAGAUGUUGGGUUAAGUCCCGCAACGAGCGCAACCCCUACGUUUAGUUGCUAACGCGUGAAGGCGAGCACUCUAGACGAACUGCCGUUGACAAAACGGAGGAAGGUGGGGAUGACGUCAAAUCAUCAUGCCCCUUAUGUCCUGGGCUACACACGUACUACAAUGGCCGUUACAACGGGAAGCGAAGGAGCAAUCCGGAGCAAAUCCCUUAAAGGCGGUCCCAGUUCAGAUUGUGGGCUGAAACUCGCCCACAUGAAGGCGGAAUUGCUAGUAAUUGCAGAUCAGCAUGCUGCAGUGAAUACGUUCCCGGGCCUU